ensembl:lncRNA
CUGAAGUGAGAUAACAUUUAGGAACCUCCCAGGGUAUUAAGGCUGCACUUUUCUUUGGAGUCUCGUGCUGCUCAGGCUCAUGGCAGUGCUCCCUUUGAACUCUCUGUGGUUUGUAGUUCUCACCACUUGCUCAAAAUGAAGCAGAAUGCAACGGUUCAUAUAAUAUUAUGUCUCAGGAAGAGUGUAUGUAACAGUACCCGUGCUGAUAUGAGCCAGUUGACGCUUGGACAUCACAGACCUCUGUAUGGUGCUCCCAGAGGUCUGACAUGUAUUUUGCUAAAUCCUUCCAUCAAUAAAACCCAUGCUGCCUGCUUCUAGAUGGGUGAGAGGAGAAUGAUGGCAAAAGAAUUUGGUAUAUCCUUGCUCCCACCUUCCUGUUCUUGAAAGCACAGGACAUCUGUGGGAGAAAUAUCUCUGGAAGCCUUGAUGGAGAGUACCAACCAGUCUUCAUGUGAAGACACUCUGCGUUCCUCAGCACUUACCCGUGAUCUGCAUCCUUGUUGCAGAAGCCUGUUGUUUAUUGCAGCGGCACAUUUUGUACUAAUCAUCUCCUUGCGGAGAUGCCAGUGGAAGUGAUUGAGACAAAGGGGCGUAGCAUCAUCUUGAUGCUGAAGAGCUUUCAGAGGAGGAGGGACAGGAUAUAUUAUGGAGCUAAAUUCUCACGGGCAAAUAAUAAGUCCUAGCACCUGCUGGCUGGAACCCACAGGCUGUGACCUUCUGUCUCCACCAAUGUUUGUAUUUUCCUCUGCGGGAAAGAGCAACAUGGUAAAGAAUUCCUAUUAUUUCAAAUAUUUCACCAUGGUGUUAUCUAGCCUAGUCUAAACAAUGGUCCCGAUUGCUCUUGAGAGUUGUACUCUGCAGGAGAAAACGGUAACAAAUGUUAUUCCCAGUGUGUUCCCCCCCACCACGGGGACACAGAUAUUUGUGACAUGGAAUGGCAGUGUGCUCCUGGAAGCAUCAAUCCAGAUACAUGUUAGCUGAAAAAAGAGGAAAAAAUUGCCUCCCUUGCCAAAUUCCAAACUGAUCCACCCAGAAGAAGAUCCAUGCUGUGAUGCUUCUGUCCUGGACGUGCCAUUUGUUAAUGCAGGAAGUGGAUCACAUCCCAGGCUCUGGGAAUGUGCAGAAUGUGUCACUUGCCCCAUUGCCUUACAAACGAUAAAUCUCUAAAACCUCACUAAAAGCUGUAAUACUGCAAAAGCUGCAGCCAUGGCAAUUAUUUGCCUUCAUGUUCACUGACCCACUGAAGGAACCAGGCUGUGAACACCCUGACUCUAGUGGGAAAUGCCUGGACAGCCAGACCUGACCCAAAUGUCCAAACACAGCCAAACUUCAGCCUGAAUACACAUAACACAGUUAAUCCCGACUUAAUUUAUGGCAGCCUGAACCUGAAUGUGAACUCACCCACUGUGUUACCAGAGAUCCGAACCUGGAUUUGGCUCCCAAAUAGCUUGGGUCUAGGUCUUGAAAUUACCCAGUUGUUGGCUGCAGUCUGCUUUGGAGCUGGAGAUUUAUUUCUCCAGGAGGCAGGAAAACACAUUGUGUUGCCAAACUACUUCCAGUCUUUUCCAGAAUUACAAGUCAGGGGAUGGUGGGUAAGUCUUGUGAUUUUCAUCCUACAAUCUAAACCAGAUGGACUACUCUCGCAGCAUAAAUAUUUAAGCAAAGAAAAGCAAAAAAAAAAAAAAAAAAAAAAAAGUUCAGUUUCUUAAUUAAUUGCAUUAUUAUGACUUGCACUAUUUAACAGAAUGCGCAUAAAGCUGGUUUACAAGAUAGCUUGAUCACCUUCUUUGAUUCAUCUCAAUAAAAUCUGGAGUUUUUGUUUUCUCGGGGAUAAUGAAGUAACUGUAGAAUAAUAAAGUGGCUCUGCUUAUUGGAAACAGAAAGCUCUCAGCUUUCGGAAGAAAAGAUCCUCUCGGUGAAGCUCGUGCUGUAUUAAUCCAAAAAUACAAAUAAGUGGAGGUGAUCUGGAAAGCCCGUGUUACGAACAUCAGCCCAGCAUUUCUGCCACUGAAGAUCCUCUUCUCCGGCCUCAACUCAAAAAAUCUUUGUGGCAGAUUUGGCAUUGCCUGUAAUAAUUUAUGAACGUGAUGUGUUGACAUGUUUACUGUGUGCAUACAUUGAGCUACUUCAAUCGCUGCCUUGUCAGGAAGUGUACCCAGGAGAGAACAGAUGAAUCCAGGCACGCGGUUUGGAGGAAACACUGGGGAGCUGAAGCAAGCGCCCUUUGCUGUGACAUUUUGGCUGGGCCCCUGCUGGGCUCACAGGAGAGAUUUCCCUGGGAGAACAUGGGUGCCUGUGAAGGAAGGCACAGAAGGCCCUGGGGGAUUCACAGUGAACCAUUUAAAUGGAGGCUUUGGAGAGUGAGAACCCGAAAGGGGCUGAAAGCGCUCAGAUCUGCAGGUACCUAAUUCAGUACAUGUUGGCGAUAAAGGGGAUGUGGAACAUUUGUUUAACCGCCGUGCCUUAUUUCAGUGGUGAAAUGGCUCUUCUGUUUUAUAAACAUGGUUUAGGUUGCACAAGAGAGCUGGAUGCCUCUGUUCCCAGGUCCAUUUGGGAAUCAUGGUGAUUGUGCUGGGUAGGCUGGCUGGAGUUUGGCAAAGCUACCUCAGCCUGCCUGCAGGAAGGUGAGAGCUUGAGGCCUGGCGGCCUUCCCCAGACGGGAAGGCAGAAAGGCCACUGAUAGCUGAGAUCCAGCAGUAACCAUAACAAUACCAUCAUCUUUCUUAAAAGUCCCAGCACGUAAUUCUACUAAUGACUUUUAUUAAACAUUUAAGCCUUAGCCUUCAAGUGAUUCAUAUUUGUUACAAAACACCAUCCCAUUAACACAAAGUACAAGCCGAAACAAAGUUAAUGAGCCCUAAUGCUUGCCGGAUAAUACGAAGUUUGAGUGAUACUAACAAAAAUAAAAUUAGGAAGAAAUCUACUUUCAUUGUCCACCAGAGAAUUUGAGUUUUAUCCUUCUGGUUCAUAAAAACAAGUCCAUUGCUCAAGUGGCUAUUACGCUCUUAUUAAAGUUGUUCCAGAACACAUAGAUGUGCGUAAUUAAGUGCCCCUCUGUUACAAGAGGGCCUGCCUGACAGUCUACAGGGAAUGCAAGGGGCCUUUAUUCAUGACAUCAAAGAGAAUGGCAUUACCCUCAUACUUCACUAUGUUGGCUGGGGUUGGUCCCACAUGGUGCAGUGCCCAGGACACAGCACUGUCAGCUGGAGCUGGGCUCUGGGGACCUGGAGGCAACAGGAGUGUGGCCUGAAAUGUACAUUAAUAUUUGUCUUAUGGAAAUCUUCAACAGAACUUAGCUCAGGCAUCCAAAGCACUGAGGAACUACAAAAAGUCAUUACAAAAUGUCAGGAAGUGUAGACUGAGAUAUUUUUAAUUGUCUGUUUUGGCAGUCGGAUACUAACGGCAAAUGGGGAAAUGGAGUAAAAAUCACUGAUAUCUCCCUACCCUUGAAAGUACGUGAUGUUGCUCAAAGCUCUGCCAGUUUUAUCUGUGUGUCCCAGUGAAGAGACUAAACACAAGAAACAGAAAGGGACAGCAGUAAAGCUGUAAAGUGCCAUUUUGGAAGGGAUGAGCAAGCACUGUAUAGUGACCAAUUUGCUACCAGAGUUACGUUCCUUGUCAGCUGGCUCCCAUGAAGCAGAUGUUAGCCCUGUGGGGUUCCCAGCCAGCACACUCCUGGCAAACAACUUCA